GGAUAGCUCAGUUGGUAGAGCAUAAGACUUUUAAUCUCUGGGUCGUGGGUUUGAGCCCCACAUUAGGCA
rnacentral:tRNA from 1 species